rnacentral:rRNA from 1 species
CCUACGGGCGGCAGCAGUGGGGAAUAUUGGGCAACGGGCGCAAGCCUGACCCAGCAAUGCCGCGUGAAGGAAGAAGGCUUUCGGGUUGUAAACUUCUUUGACAGGGGAAGAGCAGAAGCCGGUACCCUGAAAACAAGCCAAGGCUAACUACGUGCCAGCAGCCGCGGUAAUACGUAGGUGGCAAGCGUUGUCCGGAUUUACUGGGUGUAAAGGGCGUGUAGCCGGGAAGGCAAGUCGGAUGUGAAAUCUGGAGGCUCAACCUCCAAAUUGCAUUUGAAACUGUUUUUCUUGAGUACUGGAGAGGCAGACGGAAUUCCUUGUGUAGCGGUGAAAUGCGUAGAUAUAAGGAGGAACACCAGGGGCGAAGGCGGUCUGCUGGACAGCAACUGACGGUGAGGCGCGAAAGCGUGGGGAGCAAACAGGAUUAGAUACCCGGGUAGUC